rnacentral:rRNA from 1 species
AGGGGGGGGCCAAGUCGCCGCGCCGACCGCAAGGGGGCAGGCGUCCACGGUAUGGUUCAUGAUUGGGGUGAAGUCGUAACAAGGUAGCUGUAGGUGAACCUGCAGAAGGAUCA